CUUACACAUGCAAGUCGAACGAUGGAGUCCUUCGGGAUGGAUUAGUGGCGAACGGGUGAGGAACACGUGAAGAAUCUGCCCUCCACUUUGGGAUAACUCCGGGAAACCGGGGCUAAUACCGAAUAUUGAAACAUAAGUGGCAUCACUGAGUUUUGAAAGAAUUUCGGUGGAGGAUGACUUCGCGGCCUAUCAGCUUGUUGGUGAGGUAAUGGCUCACCAAGGCGACGACGGGUAGCCGGCCUGAGAGGGCGACCGGCCACACUGGGACUGAGACACGGCCCAGACUCCUACGGGAGGCAGCAGUGGGGAAUAUUGGGCAAUGGACGCAAGUCUGACCAGCGACGCCGCGUGCGGGAUGAAGGCCUUCGGGUUGUAAACCGCUU
rnacentral:rRNA from 1 species